GUGCGAUUGCGCCCUCUCGUUGCGCACCGCGCGGUUGGCUGCGCCAAAGCUGAAAGCCCACAGCUCACUCGAACCCUAGCCGCCACAUCCCGUCAGCAUCACAGGCGCCGGCGCGCCGCACCCCCUAUUCCUCCUUUCUCCUCGUCUGAAUAGCCGCCGGCCGCCGCACCGCUUCUUCCCCUUCCUCCUACCUCCCUUAUCCCUGCCCCCAAUCCACAUCCUCCUCCUCCCUUCCUUCCUUCCAGAUCGGGGAGUAAGAUGGCGGGCGGCAGAGCGUGGGGUCGAUGGCAGCGGCUGGACGAGGUCGUCCACAGGCGAGGAAUGGCCGCCAAGCUUGUUCCUCCGACCGCCGCACUGGAGCCCCGGCGGCUGAGCCUGCAGUGGCACCGGUAGUCCGUCCGUGCUCGUCCUCCUCCUCCUCUCUCUCUCUCCCGUGCAGCCGCCCUCCUCCCUCGUCGAUUGACUCGACCUCAGUCCACCUCUGUGUGCUCUCCUCCUAUUAUGCGGGCACUCGGCGGCAGGGAGCAUGGCGGCGACCGGGGCUGCUGGACAGUAGGUGCUCGCCGAGGUGGUCCAUGCCUGGGAAGACGGCGACAUCUUCCGGCGACAAGGUGAGCUUCGCCUAAUCCUCUCUCUCUCUCUCUCUCUCUAAUCUGUUCUCUGGUAUGAAGAUCCUUUGCAGAUCAAUUAGAAGGCAGAAUUCUUGCUAGGUGGCUCAGGCCAAGCAUCGUUUCACAUUCAGGAAGUGAAGACGGCCAUUCGUCGUGCCAUGAGCUCCAUUCAUAUUACUAUAUGCUUAAAACAUCGUGCUCUCCUUAUCUACAUCAUGUGGUAGUAGUAUUUACUUGCCAUUCAUGCAUCUUGUUCCAUCAUGUCAGUCAUAUCUUACAUAUCACGCUUGACUGGUUUGUUCAAUUCCUCUACUAUGCUUUUCUGUCGUGUUUUUCAAACAUUCUCGGUUACUAUAGAUUAUCAUGAUAUCUUGCUGCAAUGCAUUCAAACCUGCAAAUAGCUUUGUAAACAGAGUUAUGUGCCCAGGCUUUGGCGGAGGUGUGCUCUUGUCUUGUCUUUCAUAAUAUUCGCCUUUAUUGCGUGCACAAUCAGUUGGUGGUACCCAGUGGAGGUUGAAUUGUUAGUACUUAUGCCUCUGAUUUUGUGGGGUAGUUAGUGUAUGCCUGCAUGCCUCAUUGGAAAUAUUACUGCAUGAUACCAUACAGAUAUUUCAGUUUAUAAACUGAUAAGGUAAUUAUGAGUUUAUUAGAGAGUACAGAUUUGCUCAGCUACUAGCCUACAAUGACUUGUAUAUUUGUAAAUAGUGAAGUACUCUAUGCACCUUAAAAAUAAUCUUUAAGUGAAAGAUGCAGUUACUUUACAUUAGUACCUUCGCCAUUUAGGCAGGGUGGAGGCGACGCACAAGGACGCCUCUAGCACGUUCACCGCCAGCCGUUGCCGUUGCUUUCUUCUUUUUUGGCUUAUAUUUCUUAAUACCUAAAGUGAAUGCCUGGUACUCAUUCUCCUAAUGUUUCAAGGUAUUUCUCAUUAUUAGAGCAUUUACAUUGCUUUACAGAGUAUACAUCAAGCACAGUUGAAGUACAUAUCAAAUAGUUGUAUUCCAGAGUUGUUUGAUUCGCAUGAUAAAGAUUCUAAAAAUAGUUCCCAUGCCAUAAUAAGUUAUAAUGUUUUGUUUCUCUUAUAUUUAUAUGUUUACACCACUGCUUUUGUUCCAAUUUUAUUGGAGGCUCAUAUUAGGUCGCUUUGGAGGCUGAAAUCAGGUGGCUGCUCAUGUCUGGCUUGGUGGCUUGGUGCCUAUAUUUUAGAUGUUCCAUUAAUCUUGGCUGCUUUUCUCACCAGUUUUGGGCUUUAACCUUGGAUCUAGAAGGUUGCAGCUUCUUUGUUCUCCUACUCAAGAUUUGCUCACUUUCUAGCUGGUUGCUGCAUCAUUUACUUUUUCCUCUGUUCAAGGAUGUAUCGUACACAUUGUCACCUUUUUCCUCUAUUCAGAUAUCGGUGUUGCCUAAUUAAAAAAUGAACAACAAUACCAGUUGUACCAGUUGAAGUUUUUUCUUUCUGAAUUGAGUAGUUAAGAGUUCAGUCUUCCUAUAGAAUCUCCAGGAGUUUAGUUAGGCAUUCUGAAAAAGAGAAGUCUUGUUGAUCAGACGGCUAAACGCUCAUAUCGCUCCUAAACUUGAUACACUGUUUUCCUUUUGAUAUGUCUUGCCAAGCAGAGCGACCAAUGCAAGGAGGACCAAGAUCUAGGACGGUGAGCCUCGCCUAGCUCUUCCACCUCUUCCACCUAUCAUGGAGGAGGGACGAAGGGGGAGAAGAUUACAGCAUGAUUCAGGAUCAGUUGAGGGUUGAAUGCUUCAAUGGUUCCAGAAAGCUUCAUCCACAAUCCUGACAAAUAUUUCCUUUGAUGUCACAAAGCAUACCAAGAAUUUGAAGUGAGUACGUUUUAUCCCAGCUAACCUGUCAGGCUGUCACCUUUUAGCGAUGUCAUGAAAAAUGAACAUAUGGCAGUCAUUUAUUAUUAAUCUUGUGGUGACAUAUGCAUGACUAUUAGUAGAAUACUUUGUAGUAAGUUGUGUGUAAAUGUUGUGUAGAGAAGGCGAUAGGGAGACUGACGGGGCAUAGAGUGCUUCCGUGUGUUGGGGUAUUUAGCUGAUUGCUCAUUUGGGAGCACUCAAUAGCAUGUUGCAUCUUUAAUUUUAUGAAAUAAAUGCCUUCCUUUGUUUGCUCAUUUUCUUCUGAUAUAAAGGUUUAGAUAUUAGGUAUUUGGUACUCAAGACCAUUUAACUUUCUUUUUUCAUAUAUGAGUAUAGCUGGAUUAUUCAUGUUUCUUACAAUCAAGAAUUUUCCCAUUCAGGUAGAUUGUGAAUUAUUCCUGACAUUUCAGCAAAAUAUCCAUUAUUUCUAUCUGGAAGAUUCUGGGUUGAACUCUCGGAGACUCUUUACGCCGAGACUCUUUACCCAAUAUCACCUCUCCAUGCAGCUCUUCUUUUGAUUCUGUCCAAUUCCUGGCGAUCGGCACGGACCAGAAUACCAUCGCGCAUGCCCUUGGUGUGUGUGCCAGAAUACCAUCGCGCAUGCCCUUAACAUAUGUCUUACUCAAACCUAACACUACUACCAUAUUCAAAUAUUAAUGUACAUUUAUUUGUAAACAACAAGCCUCCA
rnacentral:rRNA from 1 species